rnacentral:rRNA from 1 species
AGAUACUUGUAUUUCCUGAGACCGGCGAACGGGUGCGUAACGCGUAUGCAACCUACCUUUAUCAGGGGGAUAGCCCAGAGAAAUUUGGAUUAAUACCGCAUAAUACUAUUUAUGGCAUCAUAGAUAGUUGAAAGAUUUAUUGGAUAGAGAUGGGCAUGCGUAGGAUUAGCUAGUAGGUGAGGUAAAGGCUCACCUAGGCAACGAUCCUUAGGGGCUCUGAGAGGAGUGACCCCCACACUGGUACUGAGAUACGGACCAGACUCC